UUUGUAUCGUAAUGUUUCAUAAAGGCACAUGUACAUUUCGUUGUUCCGCAUGUGCUUCCGAUAUGUCCCAAUUUAUUGUUCACAAUACCCUUUUAUACUCUGGUGUUUGUGGGAUUAUUUGGACCUUUGCCAGAAAUGGUAAAGAGUAUGUGCUUAGAGCCCGCGAUGCUCUAGAUUAUGUUUGGUGGUCAUUCAGAAAUGGAUAGACCAUAUUAUGUUUGGAAUCCCAC
rnacentral:lncRNA from 1 species